rnacentral:rRNA from 1 species
AUUGAACGCUGGCGGCAUGCCUUACACAUGCAAGUCGAACGGCAGCACGGGAGCAAUCCUGGUGGUGAGUGGCGAACGGGUGAGUAAAGUAUCGGAACGUGCCCAGUCGUGGGGGAUAACGUAGCGAAAGUUACGCUAAUACCGCAUACGAUCUAUGGAUGAAAGCGGGGGAUCGCAAGACCUCGCUCGAUUGGAGCGGCCGAUAUCAGAGUAGGUAGUUGGUGGGGUAAAGGCUCACCAAGCCGACGAUCUGUAGCUGGUCUGAGAGGACGACCAGCCACACUGGGACUGAGACACGGCCCAGACUCCUACGGGAGGCAGCAGUGGGGAAUUUUGGACAAUGGGCGAAAGCCUGAUCCAGCCAUGCCGCGUGCAGGAUGAAGGCCUUCGAGUUGUAAACUGCUUUUAUACGGAACGAAAAGGUUUGGCCUAAUAAGCUGAGCUCAUGACGGUGCCGUAAGAAUAAGCACCGGCUAACUACGUGCCAGCCGCCGCCGUAA